rnacentral:rRNA from 1 species
GGAGGGUGCAAGCGUUGUUCGGAAUUACUGGGCGUAAAGGGCGUGUAGGCGGUUAGGCAAGUCAGGUGUGAAAUCCCUUGGGCUCAACCAAGGAAGUGCGCUUGAAACUGCUUAACUAGAGUACAGGAGGGGAAGGUGGAAUUCCCAGUGUAGAGGUGAAAUUCAUAGAUAUUGGGAGGAACACCGGUAGCGAAGGCGGCUUUCUGGCCUGAUACUGACGCUGAGACGCGAAAGCGUGGGGAGCAAACAGGAUUAGAUACCCUGGUAGUCCACGCUGUAAACGAUGUGCACUAGGUGUAGGAAGUGUUGACCCUUUCUGUGCCGAAGCUAACGCAUUAAGUGCACCGCCUGGGGAGUACGGUCGCAAGGCUA